rnacentral:lncRNA from 1 species
UCAACAAUCACAUUGCUGUAGCCACAGACCCUCGAAUUUAGCCUCUCAAAUCUCAUAGAACUACUUCUUUCCAUCAAGGUCGAUAGAUACCAUCUUGAUGCACACCCCACUCCUACAGUGGAUCAAUUAUCACUGACAUCCACUACAAGGACUCAUUGAGACUCAUAUUUAUGUGUCAGUCAAACUUCAGUAGCAUCACUAUAAGUAGUCGUACCAUCU